AUGGGCGAACCGCGCGGCGAUCCGACGGUGGAUUCGCCGCCGACGCACCAGACAUCGAGGACAACCGCUUCCGGCCCCAUGUCUCUCACAAUCAACGAGGAGCUCCCCAAGAGGCUGCGGCUGUCCUGCUUCCACGACGCCGGCGGCGAGGGGCAGGCGUCGAUCCGCGCCGAGUUGGGGCGGCCAAUGCAGAUGGACAUAAUGCGCUUCUACGAGGAGGCGCUGGGCAGGCUCCCCGUCGCCGACAUGCCGGAGGUUGUGCCGUGCGUCGAGCGCGGCGGCCACUGCAUCGGCCUCAUCGAUCCGGUGUCCAACAUCAUUCUCAACGCCCUCAACCUCCUGUGCCGUCGCAGGUGCAGCGGGAACGUCAAGGGGAAGCGACCUUCUGCGGCGCAGGUCGGCAGCAAGAGGAAGGAGGGAGAGGGGGAGGCGCCGCCCGCCCAGACCCAGCCCCCGGUGUUUCUAGCUUUUUGUUCCUACAAUGGCCUCCUUGCCUUCAUGCGGAUCUACUUCCGGUAUCUGUCCGAGGGGCAGGCCAUGCGCUACCUCCGCCUGGCCGGUGCCGACCUCGCUGUCGCAAUCCAGCUCGGCGAGAACCAGCAGUUCGGCCCCGAGGACCGUCACACCACCGGCGCCCCCGACCUCCGCUGCGGCAGGACCCAGUUCGCCCUCAAGGUCGCCGCGGCCGUGGCAGGGCACCCCGUGCCGGACGACCUGGUGCGGCUCGCGAAGCUUCUCGUCCCCUUGAGAGACCACGAUCGCACGCCCCUCGCUGCUGUGCUGGAGAAGGGCCGGCCCCUCAGCGUCGGCGACGUCGACGGCAUCCUCAGUUUCCUUCGGCUGCAGCACCACGCGGCCUCCCCUGCCGUCAAAGUCGCCUUCCGGCGCAGCCCUGAUACAGCUGACAUGGAGAUCGGGAGGAGCUUGUUUGGACUAGAAGCAGCAGGAGGGCAGGCGCUAGAAGCUGGUGAGCGGCCUGCCCGCUUCUUCUGCCCCGUCGGCGAAAACCACGUCGCCGAGGUAGUCGUCUCGCGCCGCCGUGAUGGACAUGUCUCUAGCAUCUGCGACCUGCGGACUCCGGACAAGAUGAAGCGGAUGUUUCUCGACUGUCUGGAUGCUGCUUGUAGAGAAUGA
rnacentral:rRNA from 1 species